rnacentral:rRNA from 1 species
CCCGGUGAUUUAGUUUGGUAGGCUCUACCUGUUCUCAUUCCGAACACAGAAGUAAAAAUACCAAACGCCGAUGAUACUCCUUUUGGGGGAAAGUAGGUUUUGCCGGGG